rnacentral:lncRNA from 1 species
ACUUGAGCUGGGCCUUGGAAGAGAGACAAGAGACCUGGGCUCUGGGGAGAGGGAGAAGAAAGUAGAACCGGCUGCACAGGAGGAUUUGAAGAUGGCAGGCCGCUGACUGGCCCCGUCCUGCGUGAGGAGGGGCACGAUGAGGAAGCUGAGGCUCAAAGAGUUUAAAUGACUGACCCAAAGUCCCAAAGUGAGGCUUCCAGGACCAGAAUCCUGUUACGGUGGCCGCCAGGCCAGGCUGACUCUCUGCUCUACCCACAUCUGCUGAGACUUCGCUUUGAACUCAAGUCUCCGUGUGGCUCCAUGCUCCACACGUCUGCCAGGAC